GCCCGCCUAGCUCAAUCGGAUAGAGCGUCAGACUCUUAUCGAAGUCCCAUAGUCGUAUUACUUAGGCGGAUCUGAAGGCUGCGAGUUCGACCCUCGCGGUGGGCU